rnacentral:misc_RNA from 1 species
GUGAAAAAACGCCCUGUUAAUUUCAUUUUUUGAAAAAUUGGUAGCUUAAAGUUUCAGAGGAAAGCGAUCUCUCCACCGUCGACGAGAGAGAAUUUAUCAGAGGCUGAGAGGGAUGACAGCAAUCUCAAGAACCAGAUCGUUGCGUUCGCCUUUCUUAUUAUUGUUAUUUUUCUCUUCAAUUUCUCUGCAAUUCAUUUCAGGAAUUUCUGGUGACCCAUCUAGUUCCAAAAAUGGCACAAAGGCCGGUGCCCAUGCUUCUACUGGUAGCAACACCAGGAGCAAGAUUCUCAUCAUACUUCUUGUGGUUGUGGCAUUAGGGUUGUUUUCAUUUUUCCUUUUCAAAUUUUGGCAAAAGAAGAAAAGAGAAGAGCAGUACGCUCGUCUUUUGAAGUUGUUUGAAGAGGAUGAUGAGCUUGAGGUUGAACUUGGGCUGCGGGAUUGAUGCUUUAAUUGUUGAAAAUUACAUUCAUUGUAGUUGAGGCUAAAAUGGAAUUAUUAUAAGGAAAACUUCUUCCUCUGAGGGCCACGAUUGGGAUGUGGGGAUGCCCUGCGUUGAGGUUAGAUUUUUUCAAUUAUAUAUUGUAAUAUCUGUAAUCACUUGUCCAAAUUAGAACUUGUAAUGAAUAUGAAUUCUUUUGAGUAUUUAGAGAAGGGAAGGAUACUAUUUUGUAAAAGAUGUAAGGAGGGUCUCAUUUUCAGGUUGUAAAAAUGAAUUCUUCGUUCUGAUAGACACUGAAGUUGUGUAAGAAUCAAGAGUUCUGACCGAGGAUUCUUGAAUAGCAAUAUGCUUCUUAUUAUUGGGAAGAACAAGAUAAAUGCAAUUCUCAUUCUCUUGAGUUUUGGAGGUCAAGUUCAUGAUUUUGGCAUCUGCUGUAUUUGAAGCAAUAUUUUCUACUGCAAAGUGUGUUUGUGGGCACACUCUUCAUCUUUUCCUUGUUUUUACAUUGUUCUCUCAAUUUCUUUUUAGCUUUUUUUUUCAUGGUAGAAAAACCCAUGAAUUGUUGUUAGAAUAUGCGUGGCUGAGAAUUGGAUCCCAGUUAUUAUGUAGAAUUUACUGUGGAUUUGUUUGUUUUGUUACUGAAGUUGCUUGGAUGUGCUCAAGAAUUGAAUAGCCG